rnacentral:misc_RNA from 1 species
CCGACAUAUGCCUUUGCCAGAGACAAUUGCAAGUCAUCUGGAAUUCACAGAAUUUGAUAGGAUGAAAGUGGAAAGACAGAUAUCAGCAUCUCUAUAUGCCAUGAAUGGGGUGCAGGAGUACAUGGAAACAGUUCAUGAUCCUAUUGAAGCUUUCUGGGAUCUCCCACCAAUAUGUUAAUUACCUUAAAAGAUUGGCCGCCAAGUUAGAAGAACAGACACCAGUUAGAGAUAGAGGUUGAAAUCUUGUUGUCUAUAUUUGUUCUCCUGCUGUUUUGAAAAUGUUACAGCAUAAUUUACGGGAAGUCACCUCUAGUGUUUCUAGAAAGUCUUCA